rnacentral:tRNA from 1 species
GCCGGCGUAGCUCAAUUGGUAGAGCAACUGAUUUGUAAUCAGUAGGUCGGGGGUUCGAUUCCCUCCGCCGGCACCA